AUGCAGAUUGAUUGGAUAUCUAUGUAUUUUGUGGCCAAAUUUGGUGUGAUUUGGUCCAGUGGUUUUGUUGUUUACUCCAUGGGAAUUAUGUGUGUGUGUGUGUGUGUGUAUACAGUAGAGUCUCACUUAUCCAACACUCUCUUAUCCAACGUUCUAGAUUAUCCAACACAUUUUUGUAGUCGCUGUUUUCAAUAAAUUGUGAUAUUUUGGUGCUAAAUUCGUAAAUACAGUAAGUACUACAUAGAUUAUUUUGUAUUUCUGUCAAAUUUAUUGUAUACCAUGAUGUUUGGGUGAUUAAUUUGUAAAAUCAUAACCUAAUUUGAUGUUUAAUAGGCUUUUCCUUAAUCCCUCCUUGUUAUCCAACAUUUUCGCUUAUCCUACGUUCUGCCGGCCCGUUUAUGUUGGAUAAGUGAGGCUCUACUGUACCAGAGGACUCAUGGAGCAAGAAUGAGAGAAACAAAUGAACAAGCAUCUUCCAUAUGUCUGCCACUAGUUGGUAUGAUUUCUAUGCACGGUUGUGAAAACUGGACAGUGAAGAAAACUAAUGGAAAGAAAAUCAACUCCUUUGAAAUGUAGUGUUGGAAAAGGAUUCUACAGAUAGCAUGGAUAGCUAAAAAGUCAAGUGAAUGGGUGUUAGAGCAAAUCUAGCAUAAGAAACCCAAAUUACUUGGUCAGACCACACUUGGAAUACUUUGUCCAGUUCUGAGCACCCCAAUUUAAGAGAGAUGUUGGCAAGCUGGAAUGUGUCCAGAGGAGUGUGACUAGAGUCUGGAGAACAAGCCCUAUGAGGAGCAGCUUAAAGAACUGGGCGUGUUUAGCCUGCAGAAGGGAAGGAUGAGAGGAGACAUCAUCAUCAUCAUCAUCAUCAUCAUUUAAUUACUUAUUAAUCGCCCUCCAUCCACAAUGCUCUAGGCGAUUUACAAGAUAAAAUUGUAAAGGAUAAAAAUACAUACAUACAAAUAUUGAUAAAAUUAACAUAGAUUAAAAGAUCUAGUAAAGA
ensembl:lncRNA